GUGUAGCUUAAUUAAAGCAUCUCGCUUACACCGAGAAUAUGUCUACUUACUACAGACCACCUUGAA
rnacentral:tRNA from 1 species